rnacentral:rRNA from 1 species
CACAAUGGGCGAAAGCCUGAUGCAGCGACGCCGCGUGGGGGAUGACGGCCUUCGGGGUUGUAAACCCCUUUCAGUAGGGGAAGAAGCGAGAGUGACGGUACCUGCAGAAGAAGCGCCGGCUAACUACGUGCCAGCAGCCGCGGUAAUACGUAGGGCGCAAGCGUUGUCCGGAAUUAUUGGGCGUAAAGAGCUUGUAGGUGGCUUGUCGCGUCUGCCGUGAAAACCCGAGGCUCAACCUCGGGCGUGCGGUGGGUACGGGCAGGCUAGAGUGUGGUAGGGGAGACUGGAACUCCUGGUGUAGCGGUGAAAUGCGCAGAUAUCAGGAAGAACACCGAUGGCGAAGGCAGGUCUCUGGGCCAUUACUGACACUGAGAAGCGAAAGCAUGGGUAGCGAACAGGAUUAGAUACCCUGGUAGUCCAUGCCGUAAACGUUGGGCACUAGGUGUGGGGGACAUUCCACGUUUUCCGCGCCGUAGCUAACGCAUUAAGUGCCCCGCCUGGGGAGUACGGCCGCAAGGCUAAAACUCAAAGGAAUUGACGGGGGCCCGCACAAGCGGCGGAGCAUGCUGAUUAAUUCGAUGCAACGCGAAGAACCUUACCAAGGCUUGACAUGCACUGGAC